rnacentral:rRNA from 1 species
GGGGGGCAGGGUGACAGGUGGUGCAUGGUUGUCGUCAGCUCGUGUCGUGAGAUGUUGGGUUAAGUCCCGCAACGAGCGCAACCCUCGACCUUAGUUGCCAGCAUUCAGUUGGGCACUCUAAGGUGACUGCCGGCUAAAAGUCGGAGGAAGGUGGGGAUGACGUCAAAUCAUCAUGCCCCUUAUGACCUGGGCUACACACGUGCUACAAUGGGCGGUACAAAGGGUCGCGAACCCGCGAGGGGGAGCCAAUCCCAAAAAGCCGCUCUCAGUUCGGAUUGCAGGCUGCAACUCGCCUGCAUGAAGCCGGAAUCGCUAGUAAUCGCGGAUCAGCAUGCCGCGGUGAAUACGUUCCCGGGCCUU